AUUUCUACCCCAGUAUCUUCUCAGAUGACAAUCUACACUGUCCCCCCUCCCUGUGUUGCCAUUUUAUUCUAACGCCAACCCUGUGAGGUAUGUCAGGCUGAGAGGAUGAGCAACAGGUCCAUGACAACCCAAGGAGAGUCGGGGGCACUAUUCAUGUUAUUUCAUGUCAAAGAUUUCUAUUGGGGAGGGGCAGCGGUAGAGCACCUUGUUUCGAAUGCGGAAGGUACGAAAAGGGGGGGAAAGCUGAGGCAAACAAUUUCAGAGGAGGCCUUUUUGUCUGUUUAAAGAUGUGGAUAAGGAGACGGAAUACAUUUAAGGGAGGAAAACAGGGUGAUAGCCGAAGAAAAGCACAGUAAACAGCAGCAACAGUGAGGAUAGGAGACUCCAGAGAGGCUGGAAACGGACUAGGCCUCAACAUGAAAGCAAAGUACCGUAUUUUUCACUCUAUAGGACGCACUUUUCCCCCUCCAAAAAUUAAGGGGACAUAAUAUUUUUUUUCCUGUUCUCCCCCUCCUAUGGUCCAGUGCGUCCUAUGGCCCGGUGUGUCCUAUAAAGCGAAAAAUACGGUAUUUCAUGGAGUUGGACCAGUGGCUUUCAGGCAAGGGUCCCUCCCAGACCUACCUGGAGGUGUCAGGGAUUGAACCCAAGACCUUCAGCAUGCAGAUCAAGGGGUUUAGUGCUGCGUUGUGUUCCUUCCCC